UACGGCGGCGGACGCAGCGCAAAUCAACCCUGUAAACAUACCUAAACGUUGCCUCGGCGGGAACAGACGGCCCCGUGAAAACGGGCCGCCCCCGCCAGAGGACCCCCUAACUCUGUUUCUAUAAUGUUUCUUCUGAGUAAAACAAGCAAAUAAAUUAAAACUUUCAACAACGGAUCUCUUGGCUCUGGCAUCGAUGAAGAACGCAGCGAAAUGCGAUAAGUAAUGUGAAUUGCAGAAUUCAGUGAAUCAUCGAAUCUUUGAACGCACAUUGCGCCCGCCAGUAUUCUGGCGGGCAUGCCUGUUCGAGCGUCAUUACAACCCUCAGGCCCCCGGGCCUGGCGUUGGGGAUCGGCGGAGGCCCUCCGUGGGCACACGCCGUCCCCCAAAUACAGUGGCGGUCCCGCCGCAGCUUCCAUCGCGUAGUAGCUAACACCUCGCGACUGGAGAGCGGCGCGGCCACGCCGUAAAACCCCCAACUCUUCUGAAGUUGACCUCGAAUCAGGUAGGAAUACCCGCUGAACUUCCCCCUAUCAACAAGCCGGAGGCAAAAUUGCAAAAAAAACCAAAGCCAA
rnacentral:misc_RNA from 1 species